AAAAAACAAACAACGCACGCCUCCACGUCCUCUCGCACGACCUCCACCUCUCGCCCCUGCUCCUCCUCCCCCGCCGUUCGCCCUCUGCCCGUUCCUCGCCGCUCCUCCCGAGCCUCCCGCCGUUCCUCCAUUCCUCCGGAGCCGCCCGCCACGCCCUUCGCCGCGGGAUCCCCUUCGUCGCGAGAGCCGCCGUCGAGCCCGUCCGUCGCGCCCGAGCCGCCCCGGAGCCGCCCUUCGCCGUGGCCCGCAGGUCACCGAGCCGCCCUUCGACGCGGCCCGCAGGUUCCCCAGCCGCCGCCCUGGAGCCACCCUUCGCCGCAGGUCGCCGCCGCCGGAGCCGCCCUUCGCCACAUGUCUCCUCCCUCCUGGCCGCCCUGCCCUCACCGCUCUUGUCUUCAAGCCCAAGGUCCUUUCUUCAACCCACCGAUUCGUUUCUGCAUUAUGAAUUGUUCCCGUCUAACAUCUACACGAUCCAAUUACAAUAGAAGCAUAAAUCCCUAUAUAUAUGCAUAUGAAAUUUCAGAGUCCCCAAAGCUGAUUAGAGAGAGAGAUUAACACUUAUAGAGAUUGAUCGAUUUAGGACAUACCCCCAUCUCUCCCAUGCCCUCUUUCUCUCACUUGUUUUUCCUCUCUUAACUGCAUCAUUGAAGGAGGCUAGGACCGAGUGCAGGCCUGCGACCAGGAUCAACAGCAGGAGACAACGUUACAUUGUGGCUGUUAUUAAUACAACUUUGACCAAAGGAUCAAGUUAUUAUUGCGGACAAAAUGAAGGGGUGCAUUGCAAUCUAGAUUUGACUAAAUGUGUGGCACAAUCUGUUGACAAACACAUUUACAUUUAAGUAUGUGUAGUAUGCUUCAGGUAAUUAACCACAACAUUUGUUUCGUCAAUUAUUUCCUUUUCAUUCAGUGAAUGUCCUUUUGUUAAAAAGCGCGAGUUGAAUGUGUAAGUACGGAAAAGGUUCUCCCAUUGGGUUGCCACUACAACGAAAUAAACAUGUAAAUGACUGUUAAACAUACUCUAUUUUUGUAAUUCAAAGGCAAUGUUUCUGCCGGUCUCUUGAAAGAACUAAAAGAAAUGCAGCCUUUAUAACUGAAUCUCUACAUUCAUUUUUGGAGAUCAGAGAGCUAUAUAUUAACGAGUUAUUAUGUUGCACACUGCAUUCAAUUUAGUGAGCUUGUUAUUUUUCUGAUCGGAUUCAGUGGUAAUGGAAUUGGGUGGUGAAGAAAACUAGCAAGCUGCAUAGGAGAAAUUCAUAUGUGCACCCGCAUGAAUAAUAAUUUUCCAAAUGUCAAAUAGUUCUAGAAAAACUAUACAUAUAAAUAUCUGAAUCAUCUGUGUCUUUGUAAAAUUAGUGGAAAAAUGAUUUGGAAGGAUGAGGUUGCUUUAGUCUUGACCACGAAGUGCUCUCUGGUAGCGCUGUCGCGGCCAGUCGGCCACUCACUCUCCAAAUCCUGCAGCUGUGCAUGGGUCCGAUGGACAGGCAUGGCGGCUCAAACCUGCGGGCUCCACGAUCACCACGGCGCUGCCUCCUGGCCUUGCCGCUGGCACUCACCGAACCCUCACCGGAUUGUCGACCCCACAACUAACCAUCACCCUCAUCUCAUUAGUUGGCUUCCCCUUACUGGAUCUGAAUUUUUUUGGUUGGUUUGCAAAGUGCAGAUGUGUGACCUCCUCUAUGAUGAAGGCAUUGAGGAGAUGAACUUUUGCUUCUCAAGCUUUGAUUUAGUUGAGAUGUUUAAGCAAUAUUGGUCACUUCCAAGUAAAUUUUAUGAUGAUGUGAUAUAUGUCUACUAAUUUCCAUUUUUUUCCCUUUGUGUUCAGGUAUCUAUACUAAAGGUUGCAGUACAACACUAGCUGGUUACAAUUUUGUAGAUUUCCUUUUACCCUUAGUUUGUGCUCCCUCCGAUCCAAAUAUAAGUGCCGCAGCUUUGAACUAAGGUGUUCAACCUUAGUUCAAAACUGCGACACUUAUUAUGGAUCGGAGGAAGUAGUAAAUGCCCAUUAGUAUAGUCCCUUAAGGCCUAAAAAGUAGCAUAGGAUAUGGGAGCAAAAGGUUCAACGAAAACUUUUAAAACCUGAGGUGCAAGUAUAUUUUGUAGGCUUGUGGAUUGUGGUGCAUGUUCACAUGUACGAGCUAGAACUUCCUUUGUGUUGGCAGAAGUGUUAGCCUGCCAUUAUCAGUUGAGUAUAGGGCCUGACCAGCGUUUUGGUCUUUCAUUUACUUUUUACCAACUCAAGUAAAAUGUUUGAAAUCUUAUAUUGACCACAUCACUAGAAUUUGGUUGGACUAUGGUUGCAUGUUUAAGUCGAAAGAGGGAUCGACCUUCAACGUUACCUCGUCAGGUUGUUUAGUUCCAACGAGGUCUAAAUCCAUUCCCCCAUCUUGUGCCGAUUGCCUUCUUAGUACUAAUGUUUCCCCUUAGUGACAUUGUCUAUUUGGUGUCCUUUUUUGUAUAAAAUUACUUUAUGAUGUUCAUCCUGCUAAGCUGCAGGGGUAAUAGUGCUUCCAGUAUUUGUAAUUUUGAAAGUGCUUCCAGUAACCAUCUCCGCUCUACAAUAAUAGUGCUUCCAGUCAUGGAUCAGAUGGCUUAGUAUGUGACAGAGGCUCUUUGCUCCAAUCAAUCAGUGGGAGAUCAAAUAGCUUAAGCUUGCUGUACACAAUGCAAUGUAACUAGAAUGGUCUUUAUCUUUUAAUCAGUUUCCCGGUUAUAUUUCUUCUAGAAUUUAGUUUGUUUACUUUGUGAUUUAUUGGCAUUUUGUUAGAUGAUACAUGCUUCUAACUACAAUACAGAUCAGGUCCAAAAUCAGGAUACAUGACAGCUGCAAAGCAAAUAUAUCAAAGUUGCUCAGGUGGAUCUAUUGUGGUUCAAGCUCCUCAGGUGGAUCUAAUCAAGACAACUUAUUGACCGUCUUCCAUUUCAACUGAAGCAAUGUGGGGUGGCGCAUGUGGAGUAGGAGGGUAGAAGAGAAGAUGGAGAAGGUGGUUAUUCUAGCCUUACGUUGAGUGUUGAAUCUGGGGUAUAUGAAAAUACUUGAGUUGAAGAAGAUCCGGUACUGGAUAUAAAUGAUUGAGGAGACGCAUGACUUAAAUAAAAAGAGUUGUGAGAAUAUGAAAUAAGAAAAUUACUGUUUCUGAUUGAGUCUUAAUCUAAAGACGACAUUUCUA